ACCGCUGCGUUUCUUUGCUCCCACACAGACCCGCCUCGUGCUCGUCAACAAGGCAAAUGAGAAAUUCGGAGUAAUCUUCACCUUCCACAGUCACCCUCACCGCAAGCCCUUCGCAAGAAGACGCACGCAACGAGCUCUGACUCACUGCCCGCGAGGGCCUACCAUGGUACCCAUGGCUGCACUUUGGCAUCAGAAAUUUCAGCCUACCUCUUGAGCAAUUGGCAGGGGGCUAUGGGAGCCGGUGCGGAGAUUGUGUGCACUUCGGUGCGAUCACUUUAGUGCAAUACGCGGCGUGCCUUCCCCUUCAUGAAUCGGGGUCCUACGUGGAUCUCGGGUUUGAAGGGGAGGUAUAAUUCGAUUCCGAUUACUCUGGU
rnacentral:RNase_P_RNA from 1 species